AUUCAACUGACGAGUCCCGAACAGGACGAAGCACGCGUUCUGGAU
rnacentral:hammerhead_ribozyme from 1 species